AUGGGCAGUUUGAGGCGUCGGCUUUUAUUCUGCUACCUGGUGCUUGAGAAAGUGGUUGUGAAUCCACAAAGCAACAACGAUAUGAACCAGCGCCUAUGCCUGGGAAGAUCUUCUGCUGGGGGUCCUCACUGUACGUGCUGGACCAAUGGUGAGGCCAUCUGGCAGCGGGUACCAAAUGGGAUACCUCCACUUAAGAACCAGAAGAAUUACUUAGAGGAGAAGGCGGCAAAGAGUAGUGAAGAAAGCACUCCAGUCAUAGGCUUACCCAUCACCCUUUAUGAGGAGAAAGGUGAAAAGAAAGGAUAGAUAAAGAUGAUGAAGAGAAGCCAAGAUUGAAGAUGUGGGUCGAUGAGAGAGGAUGAUGCAGUAAGGAUAAGAAAAAGAAAACAGAAGAUUAAGGGAAAAUACAUUGAAUCAGUGAAGAGCUAACAAGACCCAGCCCAUUUGACACAGAAACCCUGAACGACCAUCACCCAGGAGGAGUUAUGGAGACAUUUUACAAGAGCCUCACUAAUGACUGGGAAGACCACUUAGCAGUCAAGCACUUCUCUGUAGAAGGGUCAGUGGAAUUCAAGUGGCCAUGCUUAUUCUCCCUCGUCGGGCCCCUUUUGCCUCUUUGAGAACAAGAAGAAAAAGAACAACAUCAAACUCUACGUCCGUCGUGUAUUCAUCAUGGACAGCUGUGAUGAGUUGAUACCAGAGUAUCUCAGUGAACUUAUCCGUGGUGUGGUUGACUCGGAGGAUCUUCCUCUGAACAUCUCCCGAGAAAUGCUUCAGCAGAGCAAAAUCUUAAAAGUCAUUCGCAAAAACAUUGUUAAGAAGUGCCUUGAGCUCUUCUCUGAGUUGGCAGAAGACAAGGAAAACUACAAGAAAUUCUAUGAGGCAUUCUCUAAGAACCUGAAGCUUGGAAUACAUGAGGACUCUACUAACCGGCGACGCCUGUCUGAGCUGCUGCGCUAUCAUACGUCCCAAUCUGGAGAUGAGAUGACUUCUCUGUCAGAAUAUGUCUCUCGAAUGAAGGAAACACAGAAGUCCAUCUAUUAUAUCACUGGCGAGAGCAAAGAGCAGGUGGCCAAUUCUGCUUUUGUGGAGCGAGUGCGGAAGCGGGGCUUUGAGGUGGUAUAUAUGACUGAGCCCAUUGAUGAGUACUGCGUGCAGCAGCUCAAGGAGUUUGAUGGGAAGAGCCUGGUCUCAGUUACCAAGGAGGGCCUGGAGCUACCUGAAGAUGAGGAGGAGAAGAAGAAGAUGGAGGAGAGCAAGGCAAAGUUUGAGAACCUCUGCAAGCUCAUGAAAGAAAUCUUGGAUAAGAAGGUUGAGAAGGUGACAAUCUCCAAUAGGCUUGUGUCUUCACCCUGCUGCAUUGUGACCAGUACCUACGGCUGGACAGCCAACAUGGAGCGGAUCAUGAAA